AACGCACAUUGCGCCCAGCAGCAAUCUGCUGGGCAUGCCUGUCCGAGCGUCAUUUCUGCCCUCGAGCGCGGUUCGCUUGCGAGCCGACGCCCGGUGUUGGGGCUCUGCGGGCUAGCCCCGCAGUCCCCGAAAUGUAGUGGCGGUCCCGCCGCGGCGCCCCCUGCGUAGUACUUUGUCUCGCAUCGGGUCCCGGCGAAGGCCAGCCGUCGAACCUUUCUUUAGAUGGUUUGACCUCGGAUCAGGUAGGGUUACCCGCUGAACUUAA
rnacentral:misc_RNA from 1 species